ACGAACGCUGGCGGCACGCUUAACACAUGCAAGUCGAACGGAGUUUAUCAGCUUGCUGAUAAACUAGUGGCGGACGGGUGAGUAACACGUGAGCAACCUGCCUUCAAGCGAGGAAUAAUGAGUGGAAACGCUCUGUAAUACCUCAUAACGUAUUUUUUACCGCAUGAUAGAAAUACCAAAGAUUUAUCACUUGAAGAUGGGCUCGCGUCCGAUUAGCUAGUUGGUGAGGUAACGGCUCACCAAGGCGACGAUCGGUAGCCGUACUGAGAGGUAGAUCGGCCACAUUGGGACUGAGACACGGCCCAGACUCCUACGGGAGGCAGCAGUGGGGAAUAUUGCACAAUGGAGGAAACUCUGAUGCAAGCGAUGCCGCGUGAGCGAAGAAGGCCUUUUGGUUGUAAAGCUCUGUUAUCAGGGACGAAAAUGACGGUACCUGAGGAGGAAGCUCCGGCUAACUACGUGCCAGCAGCAGC
rnacentral:rRNA from 1 species